GACGAACGCUGGCGGCGUGCCUAAUACAUGCAAGUCGAGCGAAGUUUUUCUGGUGCUUGCACUAGAAAAACUUAGCGGCGAACGGGUGAGUAACACGUAAAGAACCUGCCUCAUAGACUGGGACAACUAUUGGAAACGAUAGCUAAUACCGGAUAACAGUAUUUCUCGCAUGGGAGAUAUUUAAAAGUUGGUUAUGCUAACACUAUGAGAUGGCUUUGCGGUGCAUUAGCUAGUUGGUGGGGUAAAGGCCCACCAAGGCGACGAUGCAUAGCCGACCUGAGAGGGUGAUCGGCCACACUGGGACUGAGACACGGCCCAGACUCCUACGGGAGGCAGCAGUAGGGAAUCUUCCGCAAUGGGCGAAAGCCUGACGGAGCAACGCCGCGCGAGUGAAGAAGGAUUUCGGUUCGUAAAGCUCUGUUGUUAGGGAAGAAUGGAUAUGUAGUAACUAUACAUGUAAGAGACGGUACCUAACCAGAAAGCCACGGCUAACUACGUG
rnacentral:rRNA from 1 species